GCUGGGUGUGGUGGCUCACGCCUGUAAUCCCAGCACUUUGGGAGGCUGAGGCAGGUGGAUUGCUUGAGCUCAGGAGUUUGAGAUCAGCCUGGGCAAAAUGGCGACACCCUGCCUCUA
ensembl:misc_RNA Metazoa_SRP Metazoan signal recognition particle RNA